CCUACGGGGGGCUGCAGUGGGGGAUAUUGCACAAUGGGGGAAACCCUGAUGCAGCGACGCAGCGUGAGUGAUGAAGUACUUCGGUAUGUAAAGCUCUAUUAGCAGGGAAGAAAAUGACAGUACCUGACCAAGAAGCCCCGGCCAACUACGUGCCAGCAGCCGCGGUAACACGGAGGGGGCAAGCGUUAUCCGGAUUUACUGGGUGUAAAGGGAGCGUAGACGGUUGUGUAAGUCAGGAGUGAAAGCCCGGGGCCCAACCCCGGGACUGCUUUGGAAACUGGGUAACUGGAGUACAGGAGGGGCAGGCGGAAUUCGUGGUGUAGCGGUGAAAUGCGUAGAUAUCAGGAGGAACACCGACGGCGAAGGCAGCCUACUGGACUGAAACUGACGUUGAGGCUCGAAAGCGUGGGGAGCAAACAGGAUUAGAUACCCUUGUAGUC
rnacentral:rRNA from 1 species